AGUUCCAUGACAAAUGCUUUAGCUAAUCUUCUUAAGAGAGUCACAGGGUAAACUGGCUGUAAAGAGCUCCUUCUAGUAGACAGACCUAUUCAAAUGUUAUCAACCUAAUAGGCCUGGAUUUUUUUGAUUAUUGAUAUAUUGAUUGAUUAUUGAUAUAUACAUAUAUACAAUUUUUUGGUCAAUCAAUUGUCCUGAAAACAUACUUUAAAAUAUACUGAUGCAUUAAGAAUAAAAUUCAUACAACUUAUCAUGAAUCUUACUAUUGCUGAGGCAUCAUCUUCCAUAGGACCUUCUUAUUCCUAAUGUUCUAACAAGGACUGGAGGGCACAGUUCACAUUCCUGUACUCUGUAGACAAUGACCCCAAAUUUACCAUACUGAUUCAUCUCAGUUAUGAAGUACCAUUUUUCUGAGCUGAGCAAACUCUCAUCAUUAACCUCGUAAGUUCUCACUCAUCUCUGAGAUUGUUUUGAUGUUACCUCCUCAGUGCCGGUUUGAACAUCAUCUACAUACAAAUGAUUCAGAAGAGAUAUCAUGAACCAAAUAAAUAUGCUAAGGGAAAUGAAAGCCAAGAACAUACCUUCAGCAAUGCCUGUAUUUAGGCCCAACCUCCUGUUCUUUAGGAAGAGGCUCCAUGAAGGACAACAAAAAGAUUUUUAGUUAUAGGAGGCCGAUUAAAGUGAAAAAAAGUAUUAAUAAAGGCUCAAAUAUUAUGAAGCCAUAAAAAGGAGGAGGAGGAAGACUGAAAAGAUGCACUUGAGUUUUGUUGAUGAUUGUAAUGAAGCAGUAUCAGGAGAGAGUUAUUGAAUAUUGCUGGAUAACUACACACCCCUUUAUAUUCUCCAGCCCAAAAAAACUACAAAAUACUCAGAGGACUUGAAACUACACACACAUACAUGUUCAUAUAAAGAAAAUCAAAGGGAAUAGAUUGACAGCUUGAGAUGAUGUUUAAGAAGAUAACAGGAUCCUGAAGGUAGAGGAAACUAUUAGAAAAAGGGACUUUUUUCAUAUCUUUCUUUGGAGGAGAAGGGGAUCCUGAUAAAAGAAGAAACUUUUGCCAACAAUUCUAUGGAUUUUACAUGUAGGUGAUUAUAUUAUAGUAGGUGAUUAUAUUAUAGUAACAAAUUUCCCACAUCCAUAUGUUGAAAAGAAUUGAAAAGAUUUUGCUAGGCUGAAGGAAGGAAACAGAAGAAAGGAGUACUUGCAAAGGCAAUAGAGGAGAGAAUUAAUGGGGUAGAGUACCAGAAGAGAGUAUAUUGUGUGUAGGUGUUUGUGUGUGUGUGUGUGCAUGUGCAUAUGUGUGCUGCACUGGAAGAAAAGGCAAGAGAUCAGGGUAAUAUUUUGGUUUACAUUCAGUAUUUUGAGCAAUAACUCGGUUUAUAGAUUGUUAAGGUUUGAUUAUCUCAGGAUGUCUCCCAUGGACUAAUCAAGAAUGUUGCUUUAUUUUGACUAUAACAUUUUAUAGAUCCAAUUUGUCUUAUAUUUCUACAAAUUUUUUAAAAAACUCUCACUUUGUAGCUCUGUAAACAUUCGCAGAGAAAACUUUCUUAGGAUUAUAUAUGGCAAAGAAAAUGUUUCCUCUAUCCUAUGUAUAAAAAAACCUUUUUAAUACUUUCCCUAAAUGUAGAACUGGUCAUGUAAGCCUUUGGCCACUGGUUAUUGCACUAUACUGGCAACAUGGAUACAUUUUAGAGUGAAGACCACUUAAGGAGUACGUGGGGAAUAUUGAGCAAAAUUAAUCUAUUUCUGUACUGUUUUCAUAAUUUACUGUUAUGAAGUCAGGCCUCAAGGAACAAGGAUCACAUAUCCUUUUACAUCUUGGAACAAUCACAGUAGUAUAUAAUCAGGAUAAAAAUUUUAUGUGCAAAAUUUUAAAGUAAGGAGUAGGAUUGCUUUUUGAUCUAUGAGAUGAAGGUGGAAUAGAAAUAAUAGGAAGCCUCCUCCAUACAUUGUCAUUAAAGUAUCCAAAAGUUUUAUCCUGCCUGAAAUAUUCCUUACAUAUGAUUUCUAUUUCUUAACUUCAAACUAUGCCCAGGAUGAAUCUUUUGUUCUCAGUACUGCCAAAAUUUCCACCUUCCAGCAAUGACCUCAGUUUAGCACCUGCUCAUAAGAUGUGUUUGCACAUCGUUGGUACGCUACAGAGACAUAUAUGUUCCUAUCAAGGAGAUUGUCAUAGAAUUCAGGAGAUGUUAACAUUUUUCCAUCUGUGUGUGUGAAAGUGACGUUUCCUGUUAAUUUUGUUCUCUUGCUGAACUCUUCAAGCAAAAGCCUUCUGUGGGAGGCAGAAUGAUGUCAUUAUAAUCAUAGCAUAAAUUUUUCAACCUUUAGAAUGAGACAUAUUGUGGCAUAUAUUUCACUACUUUUAAAAGCAGUAAAAUAAAAACUUGGAGGAUGAUGAUAUCAAUUUUAUAUUUUUCAAGUGUGGGGGUUUCCAGAGCCUUGAGAAUGACUAAAGGGCUAAAAUUUCCUCUGGCACAUGAUUUCCUCUGUUGCCCUAGGAGAGGCAAGCCCAUCUAUGGAUGUUCUCACUUAUGAAACCAACAGAGACUUAGUCUAUUUAAUUUCAGACGCAUUGAGACUUUUUUACAGGCAAAAUUGUCUAGCACUAGUGACUUAAAAAUAAAAAGAGAUCAAAUAUCCAAUUUCAGCUCUGACAUGUGAAAGCUUGGAAGUUGUCAUUCCCAUUUUUUACAACCAGAAAAAUGCUGAACAAACUGAAAAUCAGUAACUUUUCUUGGACUUAUCAUAGAACUACUGUUGAACAGCAAACUGCCACUCUGAAAUUCGGAGAAAGAGGCCAAUGUGGAGUCACAGUCUCCAUCUCCAUUCCUUAAGAAGCCACUGGGAUCAUAAACUCCAGGAAACAAAUAAUAAUUCUGAUGAAUUAUUAGAGUCUGAAUGUGGACUAGCAUGAGAGUGAAAGAUUUCUGAGGCUGGGCUUUUCUUGGGCCUUACUUCGAAGAACCAUCUAGGUUCUUAUCUUGAAGAGCCAAGAAAGAUCCCCUUCUAGCUCUCACUUGGGAGAAGGAAAGUAACCAUUGUGAAAUACUCCAACAAUGUUCUCAUAAUGAAGGAGUGCUCUUCAGCACAAAGACUUUAUCAAGGGAAUUUUCUUCACUCCACCUUCUGGUGGCUUUCUUGCAACAUCCAAGGGGAAAAAAAAAUCUAAGAACUAUAACUUUUGAAGGUUAUAGCCCAGGUGCAAAGCCCACUAAAAGAGACUUAAUCAUAAUAAUGUAGAAUGCUUCUCCAUUCCCUUCCAUCACAUCAACAGCAAUCCAGUGCAUGAUAGCUCAAAGAGCUGAAAAACAGACUUUAUCCAAGGACUCUUGCCUUAGGGAAGCCAAAGGCCAACAAGGAAGACAAAAGCAAGGACAGUAAAGGAGCUGAAGCUUUUGGCACUUAGAAUUGCAGCAAACAUUCAAUAUAGCCCUAGUCCUAGAUACACUGAAAUAAAACCUUACACUAAAGGCCUUUUUACCUUUAAGAGUAAAAGAUACCUUUUCAGUUUCUGUCACGUGAUACAUCACGUCUGGCAUUCAACAACAAAUUACAAGGCAUGCAAAAAUUUUGGUAAGAAAAAACAAGGUCUGAAGACAAAGCAAGCAUCAGACCAGACUCAGAUAUGACACAAAUGUUGGAAUUAUGAGUCAGGAAAAUAUGAAUAUGUUCAAGGUGCUAAUGGAAAACUAGAAAGCAGCAAGAAUAUAAGGGUAAAGUAAACUCUAGGAAAAUAUCAAAAGAAAAUGCUAGAAAUAAAAACCACUGUAAUAAAAAUUAAAAAAUGCUUUAAAAGGGCUUAUCAGUAAGCUUGGCACAGCUGAGAAAACAAUGAAUUGAACUUGAAGAUAGGCCACUGUUAACUUUCUGAAAAGAAA
rnacentral:lncRNA from 1 species